rnacentral:tRNA from 1 species
AAGUAGUCGCCGGGUGAACGGAUGUUAUUGAUGUUAACGAACAGGAUAUUAAUCACUACUUU